rnacentral:misc_RNA from 1 species
GUAGGUGAACCUGCGGAAGGAUCAUUAAAUACAGUAGAUUUCUACUGAUCGGGGGGGUGGAAAGUCCCAGUUUGAUUACUGGAUCACGAGUAAGCCCCCUGUCUGCACCUUUGUCUUUUGCGUACUCAUGUUUCCUCGGCGGGCUUGCCUGCCGAAUGGACAAAUCUAAACCCUUUUUAAUUUUCAAUCAGCGUCUGAACAAUUAUAAUAAUUACAACUUUCAACAACGGAUCUCUUGGUUCUG